rnacentral:rRNA from 1 species
GGGCUUGCGUCCGAUUAGCUAGUUGGUGGGGUAGUGGCCUACCAAGGCAGUGAUCGGUAGCUGGCUUGAGAGGGUGGCCAGCCACACUGGGACUGAGACACGGNCCAGACUCCUACGGGAGGCAGCAGCCAGGAAUUUUGGGCCAUGGGCGAAAGCCUGACCCAGCGACGCCACGUGAGGAAGAAGGCUCUCGGGUUGUAAACCCCUUUUCUCAGGGAAGUGACGGUACCUGAGGAAUAAGUCUCGGCUAACUACGUGCCAGCAGCCGCGGUAAUACGUGGGUGGCAAGCGUUAUCCGGAUUUACUGGGCGUAAAGAGGGCGCAGGCGGCUUUUCAAGUCGGAUGUAAAAUCUCCCGGCUUAACUGGGAGGGAUCAUUCGAUACUGUUAAGCUAGAGGUCAACAGGGGGAGGUGGAAUUCCCGGUGUAGUGGUGAUAUGCGUAGAU